GGACGUGUGCGUGCGAGCACUGGGGCCGAGAAAAUCCUUAGCGCACUGCACCCGGAGAAGUCCUGGAUUCCCGUCAGUGGACGCGGGUUCAAUUCCCGCCACCUCCACCA
rnacentral:tRNA from 1 species